CGAAGGAUGCGAGCGUUAUCCGGAUUUAUUGGGUUUAAAGGGAGCGUAGGCGGUCUUAUAAGUCAGUGGUGAAAUCCUAUCGCUUAACGAUAGACGUGCCAUUGAUACUGUAGGACUUGAGUACAGAUGCCGUUGGCGGAAUGUGUCAUGUAGCGGUGAAAUGCAUAGAUAUGACACAGAACACCGAUUGCGAAGGCAGCUGACGAAACUGUAACUGACGCUGAGGCUCGAAAGCGUGGGGAUCAAACAGGAUUAGAUACCCUGGUAGUCCACGCCCUAAACUAUGAUUACUCGUUGUCGGCGAUAUACAGUCGGUAACUAAGCGAAAGCGUUAAGUAAUCCACCUGGGGAGUACGCCCGCAAGGGUG
rnacentral:rRNA from 1 species